rnacentral:rRNA from 1 species
AGCAGUAGGGAAUCUUCUACAAUGGGCGAAAGCCUGAUGGAGCAACGCCGCGUGUGUGAUGAAGGGUUUCGGCUCGUAAAACACUGUUGUAAGAGAAGAAUGACAUUGAGAGUAACUGUUCAAUGUGUGACGGUAUCUUACCAGAAAGGAACGGCUAAAUACGUGCAG